GUGCCAGCAGCCGCGGUAAUACGAAGGUCCCGAGCGUUGUUCGGAAUCACUGGGCGUAAAGGGAGCGUAGGCGGCGCGGUAAGUCAGAUGUGAAAUCCCGGGGCUCAACCCCGGAACUGCAUCCGAUACUGCCGUGCUAGAGUAAUGGAGAGGUAGCUGGAAUUAUCGGUGUAGCAGUGGAAUGCGUAGAUAUCGAUAGGAACACUCGUGGCGAAAGCGAGCUACUGGACAUUUACUGACGCUGAGGCUCGAAGGCUAGGGGAGCGAAAGGGAUUAGAUACCCCUGUAGUCCUAGCAGUAAACGGUGCACGCUUGGUGUGAGGGGAAUCGACCCCCCUUGUGCCGGAGCUAACGCGUUAAGCGUGCCGCCUGGGAAGUACGGUCGCAAGACUAAAACUCAAAGAAAUUGACGGGGACCCGCACAAGCGGUGGAGUAUGUGGCUUAAUUCGAUGCAACGCGAAGAACCUUACCAAGGCUUGACAUGCAUCUCUAAACACGUGAAAGCGUGUGACCCUUCGGGGAAUUUGCACAGGUGCUGCAUGGCCGUCGUCAGCUCGUGUCGUGAGAUGUUGGGUUAAGUCCCGCAACGAGCGCAACCCUUGUGAUUAGUUGCCAGCACGUAAUGGUGGGGACUCUAGUCAGACUGCCCAGAUCAACUGGGAGGAAGGUGGGGACGACGUCAGGUCAGUAUGGCCCUUACGCCUUGGGCUGCACACGUACUACAAUGCCCAGCACAAUGAGAACCGAUACCGCGAGGUGGAGGAAAUCUGUAAAACUGGGCCCAGUUCGGAUUGGAGGCUGCAACUCGCCUCCACGAAGUUGGAAUCGCUAGUAAUGGGGCAUCAUCUACGGCCCCGUGAAUACGUUCCCGGG
rnacentral:rRNA from 1 species